UACGGAGGGCGCAAGCGUUAAUCGGAUUCAUUGGGCGUAUAGGGCGUCUAGGUUGUUGGAAAAGUCAGACGUGAAAUCCCGGGGCUCAACCCCGGAAUUGCUUCUGAAACUCUUCAACUAGAGGAUAGUCGGAGAAAACGGAAUUCCAUGUGUAGCGGUGAAAUGCAUAGAUAUAUGGAAGAACACCAGUGGCGAAAGCGGUUUUCUAGGUUAUUCCUGACACUGAAGCGCGAAAGCAAGGGGAGCAAACAGG
rnacentral:rRNA from 1 species